rnacentral:lncRNA from 10 species
UAAAAAGAGGGAGAGGAACAGCAUCAAAAAAAAUGAGGAAGAGAAGGGCAGGGAGCAAGAGUAAAGGCUUUGGAGCUCAGCAAGACUGGGUUGAAUCUCAGCCUCAUUGUUUACUUGAUGUGUAAAAGCAGAGAUGGGGUUUCACCAUGUUGCCCAGGCUGGUUUAAACUCCUGAGCUCAGGCAAUCCACUCACCUCAGCCUUCCAAAGUGCUGGAAUUACAGAUGUGAGCCACCGUUCCUGGCCUGUUUUAAGCAGUUUUAAGCAAAAUCCAAAGCAGAAUUCUGGCGGAAGCCAGGCAUUAUAUCAUGACACUCAAACAGCUCUGUGGAGAAGCCCACCUGGAGAUAAACCAGAGCCUCCCGUCCUCCGUCAGCAUUGACUUGCAAGCCAUGUGACAGCUACCUUGGAAGUGGAUCCAGCAACCUCAAGAGAGGUUGCCCCCGCCACCCUCCAGUUCAUGUACUCCCAAAUUCCUGACCCAUAGAAACUGUGAAAGAGAAUAAAUAUUGGUUUAAUCCAUGAAGUUUUGAGGCCAUUUUACUUGGCAAUUGCUAACAAAUACAGGCUUAUCUGCUUCUCACUGACUGCAUUCAAGUUCCUCAUCUUUGCCAGGCAUGUUGCUGUAAUGAUGCUGUGUUCUUCUGAUCGCUUUCUAUCACGUCCUGCAUGAUUUCACCUUGUCACAGUAUUGGUGAUGUUAAAUUUGAUUACUUGAUUAAAGGAAUAUGUGUCAUGCUGUGGAGUCGGAAAGUUAUUCUAUUUCUAUGUAUGUAAUUAAUAAGCAAUUUGUGGGGAA